UGCCCAGCAACUCCUAGCCCUACCUCCUCACGGUACUGGCCGGGGUACGAGUAACCUUAGGGAAGAUCGGG
rfam:Aedes aegypti strain Liverpool supercont1.1094 genomic scaffold, whole genome shotgun sequence.